CGGACCGUAGCGCAGCUUGGUAGCGCGUCUGCUUUGGGUGCAGAAUGUCGCAGGUUCAAAUCCUGUCGGUCCGA
rnacentral:tRNA from 1 species